GAUGAAGAACGCAGCGAAAUGCGAUACUUGGUGUGAAUUGCAGAAUCCCGUGAACCAUCGAGUCUUUGAACGCAAGUUGCGCCCGAAGCCAUUAGGCCGAGGGCACGCCUGCCUGGGCGUCACACGUCGUUGCCCCCCCAUCUACUCCUUCGGGAUUGCGGGGGGCGGAUGAUGGCCUCCCGUGCGCCACGCCGCGCAGUUGGCAUAAAUGCCAAGUCCUCGGCGACGCACGCCACGACAAUCGGUGGUUGCGAAACCUCGGUUGCCCGUCGUGUGCGGUCGUCGCGCAUCGAGGGCUCGAAAAAAUUGCCGGGUUCCGGCUCGGCUUUCAACGCGACCCCAGGUCAGGCGGGGUUACCCGCUGAAUUUAAGCAUAUCAUAAGCGGAGGA
rnacentral:misc_RNA from 1 species